rnacentral:rRNA from 1 species
ACACACCGAACUGAGGCCAAAUGCUUGUAAGACUGGGAUGGGUCCGGGAAACCGGGGCUAAUACCGGAUGGUUGUUUGAACCGCAUGGUUCAAACAUAAAAGGUGGCUUCGGCUACCACUUACAGAUGGACCCGCGGCGCAUUAGCUAGUUGGUGAGGUAACGGCUCACCAAGGCAACGAUGCGUAGCCGACCUGAGAGGGUGAUCGGCCACACUGGGACUGAGACACGGCCCAGACUCCUACGGGAGGCAGCAGUAGGGAAUCUUCCGCAAUGGACGAAAGUCUGACGGAGCAACGCCGCGUGAGUGAUGAAAGGUUUUCGGAUCGUAAAGCUCUGUUGUUAGGGAAGAACAAGUACCGUUCGAAUAGGGCGGUACCUUGACGGUACCUAACCAGAAAGCCACGGCUAACUACGUGCCAGCAGCCGCGGUAAUACGUAGGUGGCAAGCGUUGUCCGGAAUUAUUGGGCGUAAAGGGCUCGCAGGCGGUUUCUUAAGUCUGAUGUGAAAGCCCCCGGCUCAACCGGGGAGGGUCAUUGGAAACUGGGGAACUUGAGUGCAGAAGAGGAGAGUGGAAUUCCACGUGUAGCGGUGAAAUGCGUAGAGAUGUGGAGGAACACCAGUGGCGAAGGCGACUCUCUGGUCUGUAACUGACGCUGAGGAGCGAAAGCGUGGGGAGCGAACAGGAUUAGAUACCCUGGUAGUCCACGCCGUAAACGAUGAGUGCUAAGUGUUAGGGGGUUUCCGCCCCUUAGUGCUGCAGCUAACGCAUUAAGCACUCCGCCUGGGGAGUACGGUCGCAAGACUGAAACUCAAAGGAAUUGACGGGGGCCCGCACAAGCGGUGGAGCAUGUGGUUUAAUUCGAAGCAACGCGAAGAACCUUACCAGGUCUUGACAUCCUCUGACAAUCCUAGAGAUAGGACGUCCCCUUCGGGGGCAGAGUGACAGUUGUUGCUUGUUUGUCGUCAGCUCGUGUCGUGAGAUGUUGGGUUAAGUCCGCAACGAGCGCAACCCUUGAUCUUAGUUGCCAGCAUUCAGUUGGGCACUCUAAGGUGACUGCCGGUGACAAACCGGAGGAAGGUGGGGAUGACGUCAAAUCAUCAUGCCCCUUAUGACCUGGGCUACACACGUGCUACAAUGGACAGAACAAAGGGCAGCGAAACCGCGAGGUUAAGCCAAUCCCACAAAUCUGUUUUCAGUUCGGAUGGGCAUGUUUCCCACCGAGU